UGGGGAAUAUUGCACAAUGGGGGAAACCCUGAUGCAGCCAUGCCGCGUGUGUGAGAAGGCCUUCGGGUUGUAAAGCACUUUCAGUAGGGAGGAAAGGGUAAGUCUUAAUACCGCUUAUCUGUGACGUUACCUACAGAAGAAGGACCGGCUAACUCCGUGCCAGCAGCCGCGGUAAU
rnacentral:rRNA from 1 species